rnacentral:ncRNA from 1 species
AUGCCGUUAGAGGGUACCAAACUUAAAGGAGCAGAGAGAGGAAAAUAGCAGGAUUGCUGUAGUCCUUGGAUCGUACCUUACUACUUGUAUAACUGUGUCAGUUCUAGAGCUAAUACAUGCAGCAGAGCUACGACCCUCUGGGGUCAAGCGCUUUUAUUAGACCAAAACCAAUCUGACCUCGUGCCUGUAUUAUGUGGUGACUCUGUAUAACUUUGGGCUGAUCGCACGGGCUCUUCCCGGCGACGUAUCUGUCAAGUGGCUGUCUUAUCAACUCUCGAUGGUAGGUUACGCGCCUACCAUGAUCGUAACGGGUGACGGAGAAUCCGGUUUCGAUUCUGGAGAGGCAGCCUGAGAAACGGCUACCGCAUCCAAGGAAGGCAGCA